rnacentral:rRNA from 1 species
GACGAACGCUGGCGGCGUGCUUAGCACAUGCAAGUCGAACGGAAAGGCCCUGCUUUUGUGGGGUGCUCGAGUGGCGAACGGGUGAGUAACACGUGAGUAACCUGCCCUUGACUUUGGGAUAACUUCAGGAAACUGGGGCUAAUACCGGAUAGGAGCUCCUGCCGCAUGGUGGGGGUUGGAAAGUUUCGGCGGUUGGGGAUGGACUCGCGGCUUAUCAGCUUGUUGGUGGGGUAGUGGCUUACCAAGGCUUUGACGGGUAGCCGGCCUGAGAGGGUGACCGGCCACAUUGGGACUGAGAUACGGCCCAGACUCCUACGGGAGGCAGCAGUGGGGAAUAUUGCACAAUGGGCGGAAGCCUGAUGCAGCAACGCCGCGUGCGGGAUGACGGCCUUCGGGUUGUAAACCGCUUUCGCCUGUGACGAAGCGUGAGUGACGGUAAUGGGUAAAGAAGCACCGGCUAACUACGUG